AGUGAACGCUGGCGGUAGGCCUAACACAUGCAAGUCGAACGGCAGCACAGUAAGAGCUUGCUCUUACGGGUGGCGAGUGGCGGACGGGUGAGGAAUACAUCGGAAUCUACUUUUUCGUGGGGGAUAACGUAGGGAAACUUACGCUAAUACCGCAUACGACCUACGGGUGAAAGCAGGGGACCUUCGGACCUUGCGCGAUUGAAUGAGCCGAUGUCGGAUUAGCUAGUUGGCGGGGUAAAGGCCCACCAAGGCGACGAUCCGUAGCUGGUCUGAGAGGAUGAUCAGCCACACUGGAACUGAGACACGGUCCAGACUCCUACGGGAGGCAGCAGUGGGGAAUAUUGGGCAAUGGGCGCAAGCCUGAUCCAGCCAUACCGCGUGGGUGAAGAAGGCCUUCGGGUUGUAAAGCCCUUUUGUUGGGAAAGAAAAGCAGCAGGUUAAUACCCCGCUGUUCUGACGGUACCCAAAGAAUAAGCACCGGCUAACUUCGUG
rnacentral:rRNA from 1 species